CAUUUACAUAUUAAACGUGAAUUGUUUUAUCUGAUAUCUACUCCAUCUUCUUACUGAAUGGUGUUUUCUCCUUGAAUAGAAACGUGUUCAGUUGAUCAUCAAAUACUUAAAGGACCUUGAAAGCUUGUCUGGCUCUAAUUAAAGCACAGCUACUUGGUGAUCUUAACAGAAACCUGUCCUCUCUCGGAGAAGUGCAACCUCUUCCACUGCGCUGACAGCUUUGUGGGAAGAGGGAGAACUACAGGAAACAAUGAAGAAGUCAGAAGGUGCCUGUUUACCCAAACGUGUCUGCAGCCAUGUUCCUGCAUACCCCGGUCUCCCUCUGUUGCCGAGGCUAGAGUGCGGUGGUAACAUCACAGCUCACUGCAGCCUUGACCUCCUGGGCUUAAGUGAUCCUCCCACCUCGGCCUCCUGAGUAGCUGGGACUACAGGCGCUGGCCACCAAACCCAACUAAUUUUUUAAUUUUUCUUUUUUUUAAUUUGAGACCAGCCUGGGCAACACGGGGUCUUGCUGUAUUGCCCAGGCUGGUCUCAAAUUCCCAACCUCAAGUGAUCCUCCUGCUUCAGCAUUCUAAAGCACUGGGAUUAUAGGUUUGAGCUACCAUGGCUGGCCUAAUCAUAUUAAUUUUAAGUAAAAUGUUCUAACUUGAUUAAGACUGGAUGCCUGAGUAAACAAUGGUUUUGAAUUUCCACACCUGCAUUUCACAACAGGAAUCCAAGCUCAGCCAAUUUUAUUCCAUUCUUCAAGGCACAAGAUAUUUCUGAAUUAUAAACAUUAGAUAUAAUAGGUGUAUAAGGAGAAGUCAUCUUACAUACUAAUUCUAUAAUCAUUUAAGCUAUAGUCAAAGCGAAAUUAUACAAAUGCAGAAGCUCUCUUUCUCUACCCAACUCACCAAAUCUUGGAUUCAGAGGCAAAAGAGAAAAGGAAAGCACAAAAAGAAUUGCGAAAGAGGAAAAGCAGAAUGGGCAAAGACAGUGUAAGGAAAAUGGAGGUGUGGGAAAUGUGGAGCUUCACUGUUGCAAAGCAUGCUACACAUAAAGUAUGAAUGGCUGCCUGAGGAGCCACUGCUCUAGAAGGCUGGCUAUUACUGUUAUGAGAACAAGCACCAUACCCCAUCCACCUUGUGUGUUUGGUACGUUUCUUUCUUCCCUGUACUUGGAGUUGCUGGGAUGCUGCUGAUGACCUCUCCACCUGCCACGUUAAGUCCUUCCAACAAAUCAACUAAACUGGAAAUGUUUUAGGCCGAGUUCAUACUCCAGGAUGGCUAACCCUCUCUUCUACCAUCUUGUACUAGACCAGAAGAAUCUUUCCAAAUAUUCAGAAAACACUACUCUGCAUGGUUACAACUCUCAUCUUGGGCAUUUAUAAUGCCUAAUAGAACUGGGCCCCAAACACUGCAUCCUGUCACUGUGUGCAAACCUCUUUGGUUACUCC
rnacentral:lncRNA from 1 species